rnacentral:rRNA from 1 species
GAUGAACGCUAGCGGCAGGCUUAACACAUGCAAGUCGAGGGGUAUAGGGAGCUUGCUUCCUAGAGACCGGCGCACGGGUGCGUAACGCGUAUGCAAUCUACCUUUUGCAGAGGGAUAGCCCAGAGAAAUUUGGAUUAAUAUCUCAUAGUAUAGCAGUUUCGCAUGAAACCACUAUUAAAGUCACAACGGCAAAAGAUGAGCAUGCGUCCCAUUAGCUUGUUGGUAAGGUAACGGCUUACCAAGGCAACGAUGGGUAGGGGUCCUGAGAGGGAGAUCCCCCACACUGGUACUGAGACACGGACCAGACUCCUACGGGAGGCAGCAGUGAGGAAUAUUGGUCAAUGGACGCAAGUCUGAACCAGCCAUGCCGCGUGCAGGAUGACGGUCCUAUGGAUUGUAAACUGCUUUUGUACGAGAAGAAACAACAUUACGUGUAAUGUCUUGACGGUAUCGUAAGAAUAAGGAUCGGCUAACUCCGUGCCAG